UUGGAAAAGUCGAUGGGGAUACUGUAACAAUGUGAGCAGUGCUUCAAAAUAGAAAAUAAUGACAACACAUUCAUAGAAACAGGUGACAACCCAGUUUUUGAAAACAUAAUCUAUCUGAAUGGGUCCCCAAGGGAGGAGAGAAAACAUACUUUGAGAUAAUUUCUCCUCUGAACGACUCACAGCUGCAGUGAAAAUCUCGAUGGGUCAAAAAAGUGCAUGCAUGUCAGGUGGACAGAGGGAGGCUCAGGGGAGGAUACAUGUACAAGGCACAUGUUGAUUUUCAGGAAAUCCGCAGGAGACCAUGAAGAGAUGGGUAGAGGACUUCUUUUUUUUUACCCUGGCCUGGGUUCGUCCACGGUGCCAUCCAGUUGCACCCGCCCACCCUACCCACUUUUCCUGCAGUGAGCUCUGGGAGCUGAGACCCCAUGGUGGCCAGAAAGAUGGGAUGCAUCCCAGAAUGCUAUUAAGCAGAGAGAUGGGCCUGCAGUUCUCUACUUGACAACAUGCAUCUGUACAAGGUAAUCAAAUGUUCUCUCAUACAACUUGGAGCUGAAAUCAAAUUCAACCUUACCAACAGACUUAGUGAAACUCUACACAUGAUUCCAAGCCAUGAACCUCUGUGAUUUAGUUAACUCCAUAAGUCCUUACAGUUUGAUUGGCUAAAUAGUCUCUUGAGUUUCUCGUCAUCAUAUCUGGGAGAUUCUAUGCCAGCGUAGCCGGAAAUUAUUUUUGGUAUCACAAAUUGUUCUGGCAAUUUUAACAUAGAAACUUAAUUGGGAGGAAGGACAUUUGAUAUGCUUUUUACAUUUGUAUCACACAACAUUUUUCUUCAUCAUGAUGAAAGGGGCCAUUUUAGGCCAUUUUUGACCUAUACAUGCCUCCUGUAACAGCCUAUGAUCUGUACAUGAUACAGAACAAUUAUAAUUUAUUUAAAAAUAUAUAUAUAUUACUAUCUCCAAAGUACAAUUUUUGGUUGUGUUUAUUUUAAGACAUAUUGUUUGGAACAAGUACAUAAAGAUUUCAGAGUGGGCUCGCUGCAAAUUCUGAAGGUAUGAUCAAUUUUAUGUGCACUACAAACACAGUGAAUGGGGAAAUGGAUUCAAAGGGAACUCCCUCUGCUGGUGAUUUGCUGAAUGUGCAAUCCUAAAAGAAGGCUGUUGGUCAUUAACCAAUCAUGUCAAUUUCAUCAUUAAAAGUAACAGAGAGCCCACCGUUGAAAUUGUACGCGUUGUUAUGAAUUUGACGUAUUGUAUUUUUUUUACAAACAAUGUGUCCUAAAAGAAGCUAACUCAAAAGGGUCAUUUUGAGAUAUUAAUAUUAAUAUGUUUAAAUUUGACUAAAUUCAUUUGAAAAUGUUUAUUUCAGAAUUUAGACAUACUCAAUAUUUGAGACAACCCUAUAAGGAGUAUAAUGACACCAAUAUGUUAUUUUUUUACCAGGUAAAUUGACUGAGAACACAUUUUCAUUUACAGCAACAACCUGGAGAAUAGUUACAGGGGAGAGGAAUGAACCAAUUGUAAACUGGGGAUAAUUAGGUGACCGUGAUGGUAUGAGGGUCAGAUUAGGAAUUUAGCCAGGACACCAGGGUUAAUUUAUCGCAACACCCCUACAAUAAGUGCCAUGGGAUCUUUAGUGACCACAGAGAGUCAGGACACCCAUUUAACGUCCCUUCUGAAAGACGGCUCCCUACACAGGGCAAUGUCCUUAAUCACUGCCCUGGGGCAUUGGGAUAUUUUUUUUUACCAGAGGAUAGGGUGCCCCCUACUGGCCCUCCAACACCACUUCCAGCAGCAUCUGGUCUCCCAUCCAGGACCAAUGCUGCUUAGCUUCAGAAGCAAGCCAGCAGUGGGAUGGAGGGUGGUAUGCUGCUGGCGGUGUCUGUAUCAUGUAUGGUUCACAGAACAUAGGGUGUUACAGGAGGCAUUUAUACGUCUAAAAUUGGCCUAAAUGGCUCUUUGACAAGAUCAAAUCAAAUUGUAUUUGUCACAUGCUCUGAAUACAUCUUACUGUGAAAUGAUUACUUCCAAGCCCUUAACCAACAACGCAGUUCAAAAAAUAGAGUUAAGAUAAAGAAAAUUAUAUAUUUACAGCUCAAUCGUGAUCUUAAAUUGGUCAUGCUAUAAUAAUGGACCUUUUUUUAAAUUUCCACCUAAAAUGACACCCAAAUCUAACUGCCUCUAGCUCAGGGCCUGAAGCAAGGAAAUGCAUAUUCUUCAUACCAUUUGAAAGGAAAUACUUUGAAGUUUGUGGAAAUGUGAAAUUAUUGUAGGAGAAUACAGAGAUAGCAGGGGUUCAAACUGUAGAACCCAGUUCCUACAUUUCAAUAUAAAAAUGUAUUUUAUCAAACAACACUAUGCUACAUUUUAUCUCUGGAACCCUCAAGAUGACAAAUCAGAGCACGAUUACUGAAGUACAUUAUUUACCUUCAGAGGUGAAUGUAUCAAUCUAGUUGCCGUGAUAAAAGUGUUUUGUUGUUGUGCACUCAAACAAUAGCAUGGUAUUUUUUCCCUGUAGCUACUAUAAAUUGGACAGUGCAGUUAGAUUAACAAUAAUUUAAGCUUGCUGCCCAUAUAAGACAUGUCUAUGUCCUGGAAAGUUUGCUGUUACCUAUGUCAUAUUCUAGUCACAUCAGGGCAUGUUAGCGACAGCCCUCCCAGCAUAGGGACAUAGGGACACUGAUCCCGUAGAUCCUCAAGAGGUUUUAAUGGGGUGGUGGUGUUGUACCUAACCAGCUGUGGAGGCAGGAUGAUGGACAACUGCUCAAUUGGUGACAUUGGGCAUCUUCCUCCUUGUAAGGUAUCAAUGAUGAUGGUACAUGUGCACCUUGGCUUUGGUACCCAUCCUGCAAAGAUGUCUUAAAUCAAAAUCUGUUGAUACCGUGCAUUCGGAAAGUAUUCAGGUCUUUAUGGUAGAGUGGCCAGAUGGAAGCAACUCCUCAGUAGAAUGCUCAGCCUACUUGGAGUGUGUGGGCUGUCAUGUGCCUUUUUAGAGACUGUCAGACCAUGAGAAACAAUGUUCUCUGGUCUGAUGAAACCAAGAUUGAACUCUUUGGCCUGAAUGCCAAGCGUCAUGUCUGGAGAAAACCUGGCACCAUCCCUACGGUGAAGCAUGGUGGUGGUGGCAGCAUCAUGCUGUGGGGAUGUUUUUCAAUGGCAGGGACUGGGAGACUAAGCAGGAUCGACAGAAAGAUGACCGGAGCAACGUACAGAGAGAUCCUUGAUGAAAACCUGCUCCAGAGCACUCAGGACCUCAGACUGGGGUGAAGGUUCACCUUCCAACUGGACAACGACCCUAAGCACACAGCCAAGACAAUGCAGGAGUGGCUCCGGGGCGAGUCUCUGAAUUUCCUUGAGUGGCUCAGCCAGAGUCCGUACUUGAAUCCGAUCUAACAUCUCUGGAGAGACCUGAAAAUAGCUGUGCAGCGAUGCUCCCCAUCCAACUUGACAGAGCUUGAGCUGAUCUGCAGAGAAGAAUGGGAGAAACUCCCCAAAUAAGAGAGGCUGUAAUCGCUGUCGAAGGUGCUUCAACAAAUUACUGAGUAAAGGGUGUAAAUGUGAUAUCUGUUUAUCUGUAAUACAUUUGAAAACAUUUCUAAAAACCUGUUUUUGCUUUGUCAUUAUGGGGUAUUGUGUGUAGAUUGAUAAUGGAAAAAUAAUAAUUUAAUCCAUUUUAGAAUAAGGCUGUAACAUAACAAAAUGUGGAAAAAGUCAACGGGUCUGAAUACUUUCCGAAUGCACUUUACAUGAUAGUACGAGUAAUAAUUUUGACAAAUCCAAAAGAAGAGAUGAGAAAUGCAAAGAUAUGUCAUUCGUAUUUCUGCAUGAUGCCAAAAGUGAUACAUUGAUGACCUGAUGAUGGUUGAAUAACCGAAACGUUUGUCUAUGCACUUUUUAGCCUUAUGAUUGACAUCAUGCUAUGAUAAAUUGCACUUGCCUUUUAAGCCUAUUUUCAUGCAAAUGUGGCUGAUACUGUUCAAUAAGGACUGAAAGCAAUGCACAGACAGCACCCACUGUUUAUUCAACAGUUGAUAAUAACCAUUUUUAUUCUGAAACUUCUAAAGGGCUGGAUGACUUGGGAGGCCAAUGCAGACUCAUACACAGCCCUGUUUAUAACUUCCCCUGGAAACUGGUUUCAGACAGUGUUUUAGAGUAUCAAUAACUUAUCUAGCACCAUUUGAAAUCAGUGUUCUUGGUGUAAGAAAGACACAAUUUAAAGCAGGAUGGAUGAAGGCAUACAGUAGACCUACAUCCGUCCGUCUCGUAAUUUCUCACACAUUUGGCAUGGCGGAUAUUGUUAACGUAAUUUGCUGACUGGAACACAUCACAAUAAAAACAUUGCCUUCCGUGUCCAAUGAUGUAAAUGUCAUAUGUAUCACUAGAAUAUGUUCUGGGAAUUGUAGCGCCCCCCGCGACAGCAAUCUCAUGAUCACACCUUGCCGCCCUCCUUCAUGACCCCUC